rnacentral:rRNA from 1 species
GACAGAGGGGGCAAGCGUUGCUCGGAAUUACUGGGCGUAAAGGGCGCGUAGGCGGGAUGGCAAGUCGGUCGUGAAAUCCCUCGGCUCAACUGAGGAUCGUCGAUCGAUACUGCCGUUCUUGAGGAUUGCAGAGGAGACUGGAAUUCCCGGUGUAGCGGUGAAAUGUGUAGAGAUCAUGAGGAAGACCAGUGGCGAAGGCGGGUCUCUGGACAGUUCCUGACACUGAGACACGAAGGCCAGGGGAGCAAACGGG